AAAGAGUCAGGCUCAACUUAGGGACUAAAGAACAACAAUAAUAACAUGUAACCCAUUGGGUAGGGUCAUAUAAACAGAUAGACCUUGUUUUAAACACCAGCUCUAUCACCACCUAGUAGCUGUGUGAUAUCUUGGGCAAUGUUACUUCACCUUUCUGAACCUCAGUUUCCUCAUCUGUAAAAUGGGGAUAAUCUCACUAAUCAUGCCUAUCUUGUAAGGCAUAAUUAACGGUCAAGAGUUACAGACUUUGGAACCAGACUAUCCGGAUCGCCACCUUAACUCUGCCACUCACUAUGUUGCCUUGGGAAGGUCACUUCAUCUCUCUGAACCUCUGUUUCCUCCUUUGUAAAAUGCAGAUAAUGAUGGUGCCUACCUCACUGAGUUGUUAUGAGGAGUGUAAAGCAUUUAUAAUCCACUUGUGUGGUAGGGCUCUACCAAGAAGUAAACCCUUAUGGAAGCACUAGACACAUAGCAAGUGCAAUUUCAGUAUUUGCUAAAUAAAUAAAAAGGACGUUUGAGAAGAUUAAGAAAAUGUAUACGAAGACAAGUGGCUAUUGUGGAGUCAGUGAUUAAAAUUCGUACCGCCAAUCCUGCACUCCUGCCCCCCCGCCUCCAGCCUGCCCUAGGCUUGGGUACAUGGUAUAUGCGGAGUGUGUACUUACUGGUGACAGUUCAAGCAACUCUAAGAAUUGAGUGUUACUCUCUGGCCCUCAACGUUUAUGUUCUUUCUUUGCAAGGGGAAGCUGGGGCUGAACUUGAGAGCCUUGUGAGGGGAGAUGCAAUUUUCCUUAUUUACUAACAUUUACUUGGACUGGUGUCUGGGACACCCAAAAUAUGCUAUGAAUCAGUCAGAGGAUAACAAGAUCUGCAGUCCUGUACAGAUUACUCACUAAUUUGACAUUUGGGAAUUUUUGCAAAAUGUUAGGGAACAUUUGACAAGCUGCAAAUUGCUAUCUCUAUAAAAUGCAUUUGAAUCUGAGGAUGGGCAGCCCUCUCCACUGAUGUGGUUCCAUUUGUUCCUAGCACCAGCUGUUGCAUCCUGACAAGGUGGCUCCUUUUUUUUUUUUCUCCCCCUGAAGUAGAGAGUAGUGGAAGUUUGCCCUGAAAACACAAUAACUAAAAUUCAUUGAGCACCUACUACGGGUCAGGUGUCUUGACAUUUUUUGUCUCGUGUCAUCUUCACAAUCAUCCUCUAAGGUAUGUAUCAUUAGCCUGUUUAUUUUUCAGCAAGGAGACUGGAAUCCAGAGAGGUUAAGCAACCUGUUUAAGGCCACACAGUUCUGAAUUUCUUAAGCUAGAAUUUGAACCAGGGUCUACUUAACCCAAAGUCUGGAUUCCAAUCCAGCAGGCUGUCUUACUCCACCAGAGCAUCAUCACAUUCUGACUUGGAUCUCCCACAGCUGGAGGGGCAAAGGAGAGGAAAAUUUCUUGGUAUUUCGGGCAUCCCCAAAGGGACAAUAAGUUUCUCAAGACAGAUUGUAUGCUCGAUCUUGACUCCCAGCUGCUUGAUUGUGUUGUGUAUUUGGGCUAGAACAUCAGAGACCAUCUGUCUUCAUAUAGGGAGGCUGAGAUUUCCAGAGAAAUGCAUUAAUUCUGAGGAAUCCAUUUACUGAGAAGCCAUGUAGCAGCACGGAGAUUCUGAGGCAGAAAAGCCUGGGGAAUUUUUGCUGUGUCACUUACAAGCUGUGUGACCUUGGGACAAAUUGAAUGAUUUGGAUAACUCCUUUUGAGCAGAAUUGUAAGUUUUGAAUUCAAAGUUCAGUGGAAGAAGAAGCAGCAGAUGAUUUUCCCAUUUUAGUGACCCCGUGGUUAGCAGCAAUAAAGCAACAGGAACAAAUCUGGCUUGAAACGUGUCCAAACCCACAUUUCCCAGUGAGCACAAAAGGCAAAAAAAGUAAGAUGUGCAGCGGAUAUUAACAUGAGUAAUCUUGGAAAUCUAAAUAUUAAACAUAUGUCAAAGAUUAUCAAAUGCACAUCCACAUGUCUUAUAGAGAUGUCUUUCAUUCGAGGAGCUCCAGCCCAUUUCAAUGUGCAUGGGCUAGUUCUCUAGCCUCAUCAAAGUUCGGCGUAUCCAGUGAGAGCGGCACCAGUUUUUUAUAGAUGGGUGCUUGUGAAGCAAUAACUCCUCAGCUCCUGCACCUUCCUGAAAGACUUCUUAAUCUCUACCCCCAUCAGAAGAUGAAAGAAGUGAAAAUGUUAGUCGCUCAGUCAUGUUUGA